CCCCCCUCCGCCUCUCUCUCUCUCUCUCUCUCUCUCUCUAUAUAUAUGUAUAUUUAUAAGCACCCACUCUGGUCUUUCUGUCUCUCGGACGCGCUCUCUGAAACUCUGAAAACCCAAAUAGAAGAGCCAACGAAUUUGAUCAUGAAAUAAACAAUAAUCUAAUUUCUUUUCCGACAGAGAGCUGAAGGACUCGCUACUUCUGGCCGGGCCCUCCAUCUGCUGCUUCAAGAACAGAAUCACCGGUUUACGCGGCGCGAGGUGGCCGGCUCUCUUAAAAAGAAAAACUUUUGGCCAUUCUUUUCUGGGAUUUGCAUUCCGUAAGUCCUUAGGUUUUUGUUGGGAUUUGUUGUCUGUUCUUUUUCAGGGUUGGUGCUAGUGGAAGAGGAGUUGGCUCAAGGCUGAUUGUUGUAAAUGCACACCUAGAGAUUUGGUCUUCCGUGUUUUCUUGAUUAGAUUUGUAUAAGAAACUGUUGUUGAUGGUGGAAUAAUUUCAGACAUAUAUAUAGAUAUGUAUAUGUCGGCUUGUGAACGGAAGAUAAGAUCUGGAAGAUUGUCUGGUUCAAGAAUCAAGAUCAGGGUCCUUGUUUCUUCAGGGUAAAUGAGGAGGAUCGGAAGUUUAAUUUGGUGCUGAGGUUUUGAGUCAAUUUGGGGCUAGCAAAAGACUCACAAUUACCCAUAGAUGGAUUGAGGAGUGAAGACUCAAGCCAUUGAACGCAAUGUUAAAGACUUUAGCAUCUGUGAUAUUAAUUUCUUCGUUCCUGUCUUCCGCUUCUUCUGCUGAUAAUGGGUAUCCUCGUUGUGAUUGCACCGUGGAGGGGUUUCUGAGUGCUGAAAGCAUAAUGCAAUGCCAGAAAGCUAGUGAUCUCUUGAUUGCGGUGGCCUAUUUCUCCAUUCCAAUUGAACUCCUUUACUUCGUUAGUUGCUCAAAUUUACCAUUCAAAUGGGUGCUCUUUGAAUUCAUUGCGUUCAUUGUUCUCUGUGGGAUGACCCAUUUGCUCACUGGCUGGACUUAUGGUCCACAUUCCUUUCAUCUAAUGCUAGCCCUCACCGUGUUCAAGUUCCUCACGGCUCUGGUUUCCUUCGCCACCGCCAUAACUCUCCUCACUCUUUUCCCUUUGCUUCUCAAAGUGAAGGUUAGAGAGCUUUUGUUGAAGAAGAAAGCUUGGGAUCUUGGCCGGGAGGUUGGGAUCAUAAAGAAACGGAGAGAAGCGGGGUGGUGUGUUCGGAUGCUUACCCAAGAGAUUCGCAGGUCCCUCAACCGGCAUACAAUUUUGGACACAACUCUGGUUGAGCUAUCUAAGACACUAGAUUUGCAGAACUGUGCUGUUUGGAUGCCUAAUGAGGAUAGAACAGAGAUGGUCCUGACCCGUGACCUGAAGACGAUUGGUUCGUAUAUGUGUAAAGCCUCUAUCCCAAUUGGUGAUCCGGAUGUUAGGGAGAUCAAGGGGAGUGAACAAGUGAAGAUGCUUGGACCCGGCUCCGCACUUGCUGCUUCUAGUGCUCGGGGGUGCGUGGAGUUUGGACCUGUGGCGGCUAUUAGGAUGCCAAUGCUUACAGUUGCUGACUUCAAAGGUGGGACCCCUCAGAUGAUUCAAACUUGCUAUGCUGUACUGGUUUUGGUUCUUCCUGGUGGGCAAGAUAGAUGGUGGAGCAAUGAGGAACUGGAGAUUGUAAAGGUGGUGGCUGCUCAGGUUGCUGUGGCUAUCUCCCAUGCUGCAGUUUUUGAAGAGUCCCAUCGUAUGAGAAAUCAGCUGGUUGAGCGAAAUCGAGUGUUGCAAUGGGCAAGGCAGGACGCAAUGAUGGCAAGCCAGGCGAGGAACUCAUUUCAGCAGGUUAUGAAUGAUGGGAUGAGGAGACCGAUGCACUCUAUUUUGGGUUUGCUUUCGUUGAUGCAGGACGAGAAACUGAGUAGCGAGCUACAGAUUCUUGUCAAGGCAAUGGUUAAGACCAGCAGUGUGCUCUCUACCGUGAUAGACGAUGUAAUGGAUAUCUCAAUCAAGAAUAAUGGGAGGUUCCCAUUACAAAUGAGGUCUUUCCAGCUGCACUCCAUGAUAAAAGAAGCUGCUUGCCUUGCAAGGUGCCUGUGUGUUUUUCGGGGAUAUGAAUUUGAAAUUGAGGUUGAGAAAUCUUUGCCAAAUCACGUUAUGGGUGAUGAUAGAAGGGUUUUUCAGGUGAUCUUGAAUCUGCUUGGGGAUCUCUUGAGUGGAAAUGGAGGAGGUGGGUGUGUGACAUUUCGGGUUUCCUCUGACCGUGGAAGUCGGGAUCGGAAUGCGGCAAAGUGGGCAACGUGGAGACCAAUCUUGUCUGAUGGCUAUGUUUGUGUAAGGUUUGAAAUUGGUAUUAGAACUAACGACUCCACAUUGGGUGUGCAGUUUGGUGGCCAGAGCUACUGCAGCGAUGCAAUUGAGGAAUGCUUGAGCUUCAACGUGUGCGAAAGGCUUGUACAGUUGAUGCAAGGCCACAUAUUCGUAGUCCCAAAUUCAGAUGGUUUCGGUCAAAGCAUCACAGUCACGCUUCAUUUUCAUCUCUCGCCACCAAUUGAAAUAGGCCUCUCUGAAACUGGAGAUUCUUCCGACCAUCCACACUCUAACUCCCUCUUCCGGGGCCUUCAAGUUCUAGUAGUCGAUGGUGAUGACAUGAACAGGGCAGUGACCCGGAAGCUCCUUAAAAGUCUUGGCUGCAUGGUCUCUGAUGUUGCGUCUGGAUAUGAAUGCCUCAAUGCUGUUGGCUCGGGCGUCCCUUCCUUCCAAAUUUUACUUUUGGAUCUUCACCUGCAAGAUUUGGAUGCCCUCCAAAUUGCCGUUGCAAUUCGAAAAUUUCGCACCCAUAGCUGGCCAUUGAUCAUCGCGUUAACUUCCAGUGCAGUUGAAGACAUUUGGGAGAGAUGCCUGCAGAUUGGGAUGAAUGGAGUUCUUAGGAAACCAGUUCUUUUGGAGGGAAUGGCUGAGGAACUUCGACGAGUGCUAAUGCUGCCAAACAGAGAUGCGUGAUGACAUGUGCGAAGCUACUACAUCAUGUGGCAGGAACUGGAGAAAGAGAAUACAGAUGCAGCAUUGCCAUGGUGAACACAGCCUUGCAUCACCAAAUUCUAGCAUAGCGAUAUUAGACAACAGAUAUAGGGCCUUGAGAGAGAGGUUAGAAUUGGCCACUUCGGAAUAUUGGGGACUGGUUGCCUCACUUCUUUUCCAGUCAAUUCCACCAUGGUUUUUGGUGAUGGCUCACCUACUUAUUCAAUGAAUCCCAGCUUCCCACUGCCUUCAACCGCUCUUCAAAGUCCGAACAGUUUCAGCUUUUCCCUUUUAUCGUCCAUCUUUGUCAAUUGUGGUUGCGUAAAGGAAGCUCUCCUGUGCUUGCAUAUGACAAAGUUGUUAUAUCUGGAUUCCAUCAUUAUCAUCACAAGCUUUACUGUGUGUUUCAGAGAGGAUGGAAUGGAAAAGGAUGGAAAUAUUCUUCUUUAUUAUGUUAAAUCAUGCCUUGGUUUCUGGGGAAGACGGAUAUAUAAUAUGAGAAUGGAAUACACUUGGAUGAAAGUAUUUUGGGUAAAUUUCACCUGUCAUCUUCAAGGUUUGCCUAAAUUGCACUAAUCACCUUUAUAUUUUUAGAUAAUUUUUUGUAGUCAAA